AUGGAUCAGAAACAGUCGGAGGAAGUAAUGGAAGUAGUGGAUUACGAUCACAGAAAGGUGGGUGACAAGCAGCAUCUUUUCUUUUUUGAUGAAGUAAGUCCUCGAAGUUGUUUCUUUCUUCCACAUGGUACUCGAAUUUGCAACAAAUUGCUGGAUUUCAUAAAGAGUCAGUAUUGGAAGAGAGGGUACGAGGAGGUUUGGACUCCAAAUAUGUACAAGAUGAAGUUGUGGGAAACUUCUGGUCAUGCUGCAAAAUUCAAAGGACAACAUGUUUGUGUUUGAGAUUGACAAACAAGAAUACGCGCUGAAGACAAUGAACUGCCCGGGACAUUGUUUAAUAUUCAACCAUGGUGGUCGUUCCUACAGGAAGUUACCACUUCGUCUGGCUGACUUUGGGGUUCUUCACAGGAAUGAGAUCAGUGGUUCACUUACCGGCUUAACGCGCGUUAGGAAAUUUGAGCAGGAUGAUGCUCACAUCUUCUGCAGAGAGUCACAGGUUAAGGAUGAAGUCAAGGAUGUCUUAGAUUUCAUGAGCUAUGUGUAUAAAAUAUUAGGUUUAACUUUUAAACUGAAUUUAUCAACAAGGCCUGAAAACUCUAUUGGAGAUGAAGAAACCUGGAAAAAAGCUGAAGGUGCUCUUGUGGAAGCAUUGGAGGAGUUCGGGAAGCCGUGGGGGAGAAAGGAAGGAGAUGGAGCGUUUUACGGUCCGAAAAUCGAUAUCACUGUUUCGGAUGCAAUGAACAGAGAGUUUCAGUGUGCAACAUUGCAGCUUGAUUUCCAACUUCCUCAAAGAUUCGAACUUUCAUACAAAGCAGAAGAUGGAAGUGACGAGACACCAGUUAUGAUACAUAGAGCUGUACUUGGGUCAAUUGAGCGUAUGUUCGCUAUUCUUUGUGAGCAUUUUGAGGGGAAAUGGCCUUUCUGGCUUAGUCCUCGUCAAGCAAUGGUCUGCCCUGUCUCCAACAAAUCUCAGUCGUACGCGCUUGAGCUCCAGAAGCAGAUACAUGAUGCUGGUUAUUAUGUUGAUGUUGAUACAAGCGAUAACACACUCCAGAAAAAGGUACGAGACGCUCAAGAAGCAAAAUAUAACUAUAUUCUUGUUGUUGGAGAAGCAGAAGCCAAAAGUGGGCAGGUGAGUGUUAGAGUGAGAGACAAGCGUGAUAUUCAAGUCAUGACAGUUGAUGACCUCCUCCUUCACUUCAAUGAUAUGGUUGCAUCAUUUCAGUAGGAGGUGUUAUAUUCAAACAUUCCAAUAUAUUCAACAGAAAAAUCAGUCAAUCCCUUUAAUCUGGAAGAGUUGAGAG